rnacentral:rRNA from 1 species
UACGUAGGGUGCGAGCGUUGUCCGGAAUUACUGGGCGUAAAGAGCUCGUAGGUGGUUUGUCGCGUUGUUCGUGAAAACUCACAACUCAAUUGUGGGCGUGCGGGCGAUACGGGCAGACUGGAGUACUGCAGGGGAGACUGGAAUUCCUGGUGUAGCGGUGAAAUGCGCAGAUAUCAGGAGGAACACCGGUGGCGAAGGCGGGUCUCUGGGCCGAUACUGACGCUGAGGAGCGAAAGCAUGGGUAGCGAACAGG